GUGGCGAACGGGUGAGUAACACGUAGAUAAUCUGCCUUUCAGACGGGGACAACUCAGGGAAACUUGUGCUAAUACCCGAUGAGACCACAAGAAGGGAUUUUUGUGGCCAAAGGCGGGCAGCAAUGCUCGUGCUGAAAGAUGAGUCUGCGUCCUAUCAGCUAGUUGGUGGGGUAAAUGCCUACCAAGGCUAAGACGGGUAGCCGGCCUGAGAGGGUGAACGGCCACACUGGGACUGAGACACGGCCCAGACUCCUACGGGAGGCGGCAGUGAGGAAUUUUCCGCAAUGGGCGCAAGCCUGACGGAGCGACGCCGCGUGAGGGAUGACAGCUUUCGGGUUGUAAACCUCUUUUAUUAAGGAAAAAGAUCUAUAUGCUAAUAUCAUGUAGAUUUGAUGGUACUUAUUGAAUAAGCCCCGGCUAACUACGUGCCAGCAGCCGCGGUAAUACGUAGGGGGCGAGCGUUGUCCAGAGUUACUGGGCGUAAAGAGCGUGUAGGCGGUUGAAAAAGUCAGGUGUGAAAUUCUUCG
rnacentral:rRNA from 1 species